rnacentral:rRNA from 1 species
CCAGACUCCUACGGGAGGCAGCAGUGGGGGAUAUUGGACAAUGGGGGGAACCCUGAUCCAGCGACGCCGCGUGAGUGAAGAAGUAUUUCGGUAUGUAAAGCUCUGUCAGCAGGGAAGAAAGAAAUGACGGUACCUGACCAAGAAGCCCCGGCUAACUACGUGCCAGCAGCCGCGGUAAUACGUAGGGGGCAAGCGUUAUCCGGAAUUACUGGGUGUAAAGGGAGCGUAGACGGCAGCGCAAAUCUGAAGUGAAAUGCCGGGGCUUAACCCCGGAACUGCUUUGGAAACUGUGCAGCUAGAGUGCAGGAGAGGUAAGUGGAAUUCCUAGUGUAGCGGUGAAAUGCGUAGAUAUUAGGAGGAACACCAGUGGCGAAGGCGGCUUACUGGACUGUAACUGACGUUGAGGCUCGAAAGCGUGGGGAGCAAACAGGAUUAGAUACCCGAGUAGU